CUGUAAUAUUCACCACCUAUCUUAUUAUGUUUUACAUCACCUGUGAGUUGGCUCCAAGGCCCGUAGACACCACUUGCUUCCAAUUCAGAUUUUAACAAAAGGUGCAGCAUAUGUUACUCUAAUUUCCUUUUAGAGAGUUAACUUGGGUGCAAUCCAAUCCCUGCACUGAGCCAGCUCUGUGUAUUACACACUGUAGUCUACUUGUGGAGGGGAAUGCAAUUAUUGCAG